CGACGGGUAGCCGGCCUGAGAGGGCGACCGGCCACAUUGGGACUGAGAUACGGCCCAGACUCCUACGGGAGGCAGCAGUGGGGAAUAUUGCACAAUGGGCGCAAGCCUGAUGCAGCGACGCCGCGUGCGGGAUGACGGCCUUCGGGUUGUAAACCGCUUUUGACUGGGAGCAAGCCCUUCGGGGUGAGUGUACCUUUCGAAUAAGCACCGGCUAACUACGUGCCAGCAGCCGCGGUAAUACGUAGGGUGCAAGCGUUAUCCGGAAUUAUUGGGCGUAAAGGGCUCGUAGGCGGUUCGUCGCGUCCGGUGUGAAAGUCCAUCGCUUAACGGUGGAUCCGCGCCGGGUACGGGCGGGCUUGAGUGCGGUAGGGGAGACUGGAAUUCCCGGUGUAACGGUGGAAUGUGUAGAUAUCGGGAAGAACACCAAUGGCGAAGGCAGGUCUCUGGGCCGUUACUGACGCUGAGGAGCGAAAGCGUGGGGAGCGAACAGGAUUAGAUACCCUGGUAGUCCACGCCGUAAACGGUGGAUGCUGGAUGUGGGGCCCGUUCCACGGGUUCCGUGUCGGAGCUAACGCGUUAAGCAUCCCGCCUGGGGAGUACGGCCGCAAGGCUAAAACUCAAAGAAAUUGACGGGGGCCCGCACAAGCGGCGGAGCAUGCGGAUUAAUUCGAUGCAACGCGAAGAACCUUACCUGGGCUUGACAUGUUCCCGACAGCCGUAGAGAUAUGGCCUCCCUUCGGGGCGGGUUCACAGGUGGUGCAUGGUCGUCGUCAGCUCGUGUCGUGAGAUGUUGGGUUAAGUCCCGCAACGAGCGCAACCCUCGCCCUGUGUUGCCAGCACGUCGUGGUGGGAACUCACGGGGGACCGCCGGGGUCAACUCGGAGGAAGGUGGGGAUGACGUCAGAUCAUCAUGCCCCUUACGUCCAGGGCUUCACGCAUGCUACAAUGGCCGGUACAACGGGAUGCGACAC
rnacentral:rRNA from 1 species